GGCGAAGUGGGAACGCAGUUGGUUGCAACCCAUCCACGAGUGAGUUCGAUUCUCACCAGGUCCA
rnacentral:tRNA from 1 species